AAUGGUUAAGUUAGAAAGGGCGCACGGUGGAUGCCUUGGCACUAGGAGCCGAUGAAGGACGGGACGAACACCGAUAUGCUUCGGGGAGCUGUAAGCAAGCUUUGAUCCGGAGAUUUCCGAAUGGGGAAACCCACUGCUCGUAAUGGAGUAGUAUCCAUACUUGAAUACAUAGAGUAUGAGAAGGCAUACCCGGGGAACUGAAACAUCUAAGUACCCGGAGGAAGAGAAAGCAAAUGCGAUUCCCUGAGUAGCGGCGAGCGAAACGGGAACAGCCCAAACCAAGAGGCUUGCCUCUUGGGGUUGUAGGACACUCUAUACGGAGUUACAAAGGAACGAUAUAAGCGAAGAGGUCUGGAAAGGCCCGCCAAAGAAGGUAACAGCCCUGUAACUGAAAUGUUGUUCUCUCCAGAGUGGAUCCUGAGUACGGCGGAACACGUGAAAUUCCGUCGGAAUCCGGGAGGACCAUCUCCCAAGGCUAAAUACUCCCUAGUGACCGAUAGUGAACCAGUACCGUGAGGGAAAGGUGAAAAGCACCCCGGAAGGGGAGUGAAAUAGAUCCUGAAACCGUGUGCCUACAAGUAGUCAGAGCCCGUUAACGGGUGAUGGCGUGCCUUUUGUAGAAUGAACCGGCGAGUUACGAUCCCGUGCAAGGUUAAGCAGAAGAUGCGGAGCCGCAGCGAAAGCGAGUCUGAAUAGGGCGCAUGAGUACGUGGUCGUAGACCCGAAACCAGGUGAUCUACCCAUGUCCAGGGUGAAGUUCAGGUAACACUGAAUGGAGGCCCGAACCCACGCACGUUGAAAAGUGCGGGGAUGAGGUGUGGGUAGGGGUGAAAUGCCAAUCGAACCUGGAGAUAGCUGGUUCUCUCCGAAAUAGCUUUAGGGCUAGCCUCAAGGUAAGAGUCUCGGAGGUAGAGCACUGAUUGGACUAGGGGCCCCUACCGGGUUACCGAAUUCAGUCAAACUCCGAAUGCCGAUGACUUAUCCUUGGGAGUCAGACUGCGAGUGAUAAGAUCCGUAGUCGAAAGGGAAACAGCCCAGACCGCCAGCUAAGGUCCCAAAGUAUACGUUAAGUGGAAAAGGAUGUGGAGUUGCUUAGACAACCAGGAUGUUGGCUUAGAAGCAGCCACCAUUUAAAGAGUGCGUAAUAGCUCACUGGUCGAGUGACUCUGCGCCGAAAAUGUACCGGGGCUAAACGUAUCACCGAAGCUGCGGACUGUUCUUACGAACAGUGGUAGGAGAGCGUUCUAAGGGCUGUGAAGCCAGACCGGAAGGACUGGUGGAGCGCUUAGAAGUGAGAAUGCCGGUAUGAGUAGCGAAAGACGGGUGAGAAUCCCGUCCACCGAAUGCCUAAGGUUUCCUGAGGAAGGCUCGUCCGCUCAGGGUUAGUCGGGACCUAAGCCGAGGCCGAAAGGCGUAGGCGAUGGACAACAGGUUGAUAUUCCUGUACCACCUCCUCACCAUUUGAGCAAUGGGGGGACGCAGGAGGAUAGGGUAAGCGCGGUAUUGGAUAUCCGCGUCCAAGCAGUUAGGCUGGGAAAUAGGCAAAUCCGUUUCCCGUAAAGGCUGAGCUGUGAUGGCGAGCGAAAUUUAGUAGCGAAGUUCCUGAUUCCACACUGCCAAGAAAAGCCUCUAGCGAGGUGAGAGGUGCCCGUACCGCAAACCGACACAGGUAGGCGAGGAGAGAAUCCUAAGGUGAUCGAGAGAACUCUCGUUAAGGAACUCGGCAAAAUGACCCCGUAACUUCGGGAGAAGGGGUGCUUCUUAGGGUGUUAAAGCCCCGAGAAGCCGCAGUGAAUAGGCCCAGGCGACUGUUUAGCAAAAACACAGGUCUCUGCGAAGCCGUAAGGCGAAGUAUAGGGGCUGACGCCUGCCCGGUGCUGGAAGGUUAAGAGGAGCGCUUAGCGUAAGCGAAGGUGCGAAUUGAAGCCCCAGUAAACGGCGGCCGUAACUAUAACGGUCCUAAGGUAGCGAAAUUCCUUGUCGGGUAAGUUCCGACCCGCACGAAAGGCGCAACGAUCUGGGCACUGUCUCAACGAGAGACUCGGUGAAAUUAUAGUACCUGUGAAGAUGCAGGUUACCCGCGACAGGACGGAAAGACCCCGUGGAGCUUUACUGCAGCCUGAUAUUGAAUGUUGGUACAGCUUGUACAGGAUAGGUAGGAGCCUUGGAAACCGGAGCGCUAGCUUCGGUGGAGGCAUCGGUGGGAUACUACCCUGGCUGUAUUGACCUUCUAACCCGCUGCCCUUAUCGGGCAGGGAGACAGUGUCAGGUGGGCAGUUUGACUGGGGCGGUCGCCUCCUAAAAUGUAACGGAGGCGCCCAAAGGUUCCCUCAGAAUGGUUGGAAAUCAUUCGCAGAGUGUAAAGGCACAAGGGAGCUUGACUGCGAGACCUACAAGUCGAGCAG
rnacentral:rRNA from 1 species